CCCCCCAAUUUCUAAAAGGCAAAACUCAAAAGUGAGUAUGCCUAUUUUCAUACGAUUUCUAAAAGGAAAAAAUAAGAAGUCAUUUGCUGAUUUUUGCCCAUAUCAGAGAGCGAUCAUUUCGCCCAAAAGCAUUUGAAGGAUACCUCCGAAGACAUCACUACAAUGUUCUCCCUUGCCUCUGUACCUCUCUGGAAUCAGUUGUAGGUAUAUGUAGUCUGCACUAUGCAGAGUCCAAUAGCGGAAUGGCUAUAUCUAUGAUCAACUGGAAAACCUUAGCAAACAAAAACUCUUUCUGAUUAGGGGUGAUGAUCGCAAUGACGAUGGUCUUUUACCUAUACUAGGUAACAUAAAUCUGUGACCUAGAUAUACAGAUCCUGAUGGAUGAUAGUACUUGUUGAUAUCAGAUGAGGAGUUGAUGAUGCAGUGUUAAAUGAGUACUCUCAAGGCUUCAGGCCCUGUUGGACAGCAUUGCAACAAGCGUGUAUUCUCUGUGCAUUUGAAGCAUAACCCAACAAGGAUUGUUCAUGAGACCAUGGAGGAUAGAUACCAACACAUGAAUCGUGUCUGCUUUAUCUUCUUUGUGAGCGUUAUCGUCUCUUAAAGUUGUUUCCCUGCUACAGUUCAAGCUUCCCAAGUUUCAUUUGCUUCAUUUCCUGACAGCUAUGCCUGAGUUUGUCUUAUUUUUAUUCUUUAGAUUUUUCGUUUAUGUUUGCAACUGCGUGGCUAACUUCUCAAAUUGUCUUUCUUUCAUAAUGGUGAUAGCCUGUAAGGUGAUCAAUUCUCUCUUUGAGUUAUGGUCAGCGACCAUUUUGCCCACGUGGCGGAGGUCCUCCCCCACGAUGGGGACCUCAGGUUGGUCAUCUUGGGUACUUUCCAGGUUAUGAUAACAAUCAUUGAGGACAAUGAUUUUUCACAGCCCACGAUAUCUACCUCCUGCCUGAGGCAAUUAUUCUCCACACCAAGCACCAAGAGGCAAAUUUUUCCGGGUUGGGAUGUGUCCGAAAAAUGAUUUUUGAAAGGAGUUAGAUAUACAUUUAGGGCUCGCCCUGUCAACUGAAAAACCACAUCUUCAAAAUCAUUAACCCGUCAUAAACAAAUGUUUGUUAUAGUAGAAUUCGAGAAGUAUGCGUUAGUUUGUCCUAGAAGUUUACAUAAACUAUCCCUAGAGACGAGAUACAUGUUCAACUAUUAGAAGCAAAUGAAAUUUUGAGAGUACUAGAGCUAGUUAGUUAAACUUUAGUUCACAAGGAAUCGAUUUGCAUUCUCGAGAAUCUCCCCUCUGAAGUCAAAAACUCAAUUUCCCUAAACAAAGAUCAUCAUAUAAUUAGUAUACAAAAUUAAAACCAACAUAUCCUGGUGAAUACUGCAGGUACGCUCCAAAAAGUAGAAGAUCCAAUAGAAAACAUUGGUACUAAACUAUAUUGCUGAAAAUUAUGAACAUGUUGAUUUACUAGGUUGUUUUUUUUUUAACCAUCUAAGACUGUAAGCAGCUGGUGCAAACCCCUGUCUUGAUCACUAGACCAAAUCAGGUGUUUAUGAAUGUUUAUUUUUGUGUUGUUAGGCAAUGAGUUGUGUAUCAAUUUGUUAAUUUUUGGUAGAUGAGAUGUACAGAAAGAUUGUAAGCAUAUGAACUCUAAAAUAAGAUCGAGAAAUCGACCAAGUGUGUUUUUCAGGUGGAAGACUGUGAACUAGCAAAUGUGAUUGCAGCAGGCAGCAAGUACUAGGAACAAUUAUGGAGUAAGGAGUAUGAUUGUUGAAGCCCUGAACACGGUUGAAAGGAAAGGUGUUGUGACACUAGAAGAGGGGAAAAGUGUUGAAAACAAUCUCCGUGUGGUUGAAGGAAUGUAAUUUGACCGUGGUUAUCCGUUAUACCUCUCCUUACUUUGUUUCUGAUAGUGAGAAAUUGGUUGUUGAGUACGAGAACUGUAAGUUACUACUAGUUGAUAAAAAGACAAAAAUGCAAGAGAUCGUGUCAAUAUCCUGGAAGACGCUGUCGGAAAUGGUUAUCGAAUUUCAAGCCGACGAAUUGAGUUACAAGCUCUGGAAACACUUGUUGUCCUUAAGCUUAGAGGUGCCCUAAUGGUUGCUGAACAUAAAGCUCCUGGUUUUGGUGAGCGAAAAAGCUAGUAUCUUGAUGACGAAGCAACCCUUUCUAGCAGUAUCUCUUACUUCUUUAAAAGUGUUUUCAUAUUUCAUAUUCACAAGAAGGUUAAAUGCUGAGAUUUUCAAUAUGAAAGAGGCUGCAAGAGUGUUAUUGGCUCUUCAUUUGACACCUAUUAAGAUAACAACAGUACAUUUUAUCUGAACGCAUGGAAAAUGCAGGUGAUUCAAGUUGAAUGGUGGAUGGUAUAUAGAGAUGGUCACUGGGCAGAGUGGUGGUCGGGGGGGGGGGGUAGGUUGAAUGUAACCCGUAAAAUUUUUAACCUGCCCCCCUCUACUCCGUAUACAAUUUUUUUUUUCAUUUUCAAUCCAUCCUACUCCACCCCGCAUAUUCUUUUUAAAAAAUUCUUUUAAUUAAGUUUGAUACUAACUCAUGGAGAUAAAUUUAUCUUCUAUUAAUUUAAAAGAUCAAUUUUUCAAAGGCCAAUUAGGAAGCAUGUAAGAAACCGUAGUAGUUUUGGAUUGAGCA